CGCGUCCCGUGGCUUGCCUGGGGCUGGAGCGAGGAGCCCAUUGGGCACGCCCGCAGCAACCCUAGCUCCCCAUCCACAGCCACGCACUCCUCCCUCCUCCCUCUCACAGCCGCCACACCCCAUUCCUCUCUUCCUCCUCCCUCCUUCCUGGAUCCUGCCACCGCCACACCCACUGGUCUCCUCCUCUCUCCUUCCUGAUCUCUACGUCGGCCGCAACGCGAGAGGAGCAGCGGCGGCGGAGAUGCUCCCGGCCCCGCCUCUCGGUGC
rnacentral:rRNA from 1 species